UUUAUAAAAAUUUAUACUUUUUAUUUACUAUAAUUGGUUGAAAAAAGGUUAUAAUAAUGUUAUUUGUCACUGCAAAGGAAUUUAGUUGAAAAAUUUAAAAGUAAAUACCUUUUGCAUAAGGGAUUUUCUAUAAAAAUUAAACAUUUAUUUUUCUCGAAAUAAAUUGACCUAAAAUUAAUAUAUAAUUUAUAUUUCAUUAUAAAUUCUAAAUUUAUUUUAGAUGUGAAAUGCUUGUCAAAAUUUAAGAUAACUAGUUUAUUAAAAAAAUUUUACAUUGGCCCAUAAUUAUUUUUUUUUUAAUUGACAUUUUUAUAGGUUAGAAUCUUUAGGAUAAGCUAAAGGUUAAAAUUUUUUAAAAAUUAAAGUUUUUAAAAUAAUAUAAGAAAUAUAAUUGUUCUUUGUACUGUUAUAAGUAAAUUUAAAUAAUUGUUUAAAUUUAAUUUAUUUUUAAUAAAAUAAAAAAUAAUGUUUAUUUUAAAAAAUGAAAGUAUUAGUAAAAUUAUUUAAUAAUUUAAAAAAUUAAUUUUAAUAUAAUUUAUAAAUUAAAAUAAGUUUUAAUAAUUCGGCAAAAUUUUUCUUUGACUGUUUAAUAAAAACAACUUAUUCAGAAAGAUUCAUUUUAUUGAAUAUAAAUCCUGCUCAAUGAAAUUUUUAAAUUGCUGUAGUAUUUUGACUAUACAAAGGUAUUGUAAUAAGAUUUUAAUUGAAUGCUAAGAGAAUGGAACUACAAGGAAGAGCUAUUUUAAACUUAAAAAUUAAAGUUAUUUUAAUUUGUGAAGAAACAAUUAUUAAAAUUAAGGACAAGAAGACCCUAAGAAUUUUAAAAUCAAUAAUUUUUUAUUAUAAAAGCUUAUUGAUUUUUAGUUGGGGCAACUAAAAAAUAUUAUAAACUUUUUUAUAAAUAAAAUGAUCCAUUAUUAAUGAUAAUUUGGAAAAAAUACUCUAGGGAUAACAGCGUAAUAAUUUUUGAUAGAACAUAUAGACAAAAUAGUUUGCGACCUCGAUGUUGGAUUAGGAUUCUUUUUUAAUGAAGAUGUUAAAAGAAGAAGUUUGUUCAACUUUUAAAGUCCUACAUGAUCUGAGUUUAGACCGAUGAGAAUCAGGUUGGUUUCUAUCUUAAUUGAAAUAAAUUUUUUGGUUAGUACGAAAGGAAUUCCAAAAUUUAAUUUAUUUAAUAUAAUAAUAAUUUUAUUUGCAUCAUUUUUUGGAAUU
rnacentral:rRNA from 1 species